UCUUUCCUUAACAUUUUUCUUAUUCAUUUGCCCAUACUUCCCUCUCUUUGCAGAUUUAUAGUGCUCUUGGGGAGGCUCCUGGAAGAAGUGAUAUAUCAGACAGACAUACUAUUCAAAAGCUUAAAACUUAGCAUCUGACUAGACCUCUAUAUAUUUACAGAAACUUCCAUAGUAAUGAACUACAGAAAUGAGCUCUGAAAAUACAGUCUUAUUUUUUUUGAGGCAGGAUUUCACACUCUCUCCCAGACUGGAGUGCAGUAGCGCAAUCUCGGAUCACUGCAACUUCCUCCACUCAGGCUCAAGCGAUUCUUCUGCCUCAGCCUUCCGAGUAGCUGGGAUUACAGGCGCGUACGACUACCACCCAGCUAAUUUUUGUAUUUUUAGUAGAGACAGGGUUUCACCAUGUUGGCCAGGCUGGUCUCAAACUCCUGACCUCAAAUGAUCCACCCGCCUUGGUCUCCCAAAGUGCUGGGAUCACAGGCGUGAGCCACUGCGCCAGGCGGAAAAUACAGUCUUAUAGGGUGGUUUUAGAGUUGUCAAAAUGACUGGGAAAUGUUACUGGCAUUUAGUUGGUGAAGGUGAAGUUUGUUAAGUGUCCAGCAAUGCACACAGGCAAUCCUGCAUAAUCAAGGACUAUCCAGCUGGGCGUGGUGGCUCACACCUGUAAUCCCAGCACUUUGGGAAGCCGAGGUGGGUGGAUCACCUGAGGUCGGGAGUUCAAGACCAGCCUAACCAACAUGGAGAAACUCCAUCUCCACUAAAAAUACAAAAUUUGUCGGGCGUGGUGGCGCAUGCCUGUAAUCCCAGCUACUCAGGAGGCUGAGGCAGGAGAAUCACUUGAACCUGGGAGGCAGAGGUUGCCGAGAUCACGCCAUUGCACUCCAGCCUGGGCAACAAGAGUGAAAUUCCGACUCAAAAAAAGAAAAAAAGAACUAUCCAACCCAAUUGCAAUAGUGUCUCCACUGAAGAACACUGGAACCAUGCCUGAGCUUGCCACACCAUCGGGAAGAGCGAAGACCUAAAAGAAACUAAUAUUGGAAACAGAUUGUGAGGAC
rnacentral:lncRNA from 10 species